rnacentral:rRNA from 1 species
GACGAACGCUGGCGGCGUGCUUAACACAUGCAAGUCGAACGGAAAGGCCCUGCUUUUGUGGGGUGCUCGAGUGGCGAACGGGUGAGUAACACGUGAGUAACCUGCCCUUGACUUUGGGAUAACUUCAGGAAACUGGGGCUAAUACCGGAUAGGAGCUCCUGCUGCAUGGUGGGGGUUGGAAAGUUUCGGUGGUUGGGGAUGGACUCGCGGCUUAUCAGCUUGUUGGUGGGGUAGUGGCUUCCCAAGGCGUGGACGGGUAGCCGGCCUGAGAGGGUGACCGGCCACAUUGUGACUGAGAAACGGCCCGGAGUGCUUCGGGAGGCAGCAGUGGAGAAUAGUGCACAAUAGGCGGAGGCCGGAUGCAGGAACGCCGCGUGCGGGAUGACGGCCUUCGGGGUGUAAACCGCUUGCGCCUGGGACGAAGCGUGAGUGACGGUAACGGGUAAAGAAGCACCGGCUAACUACGUG